rnacentral:misc_RNA from 1 species
UUAAGUUCAGCGGGUAUCCCCGCCUGAUCCGAGGCCAAACUUUUUAAUGGUAAAAAGCUCCUCUCGCCCCCCCAAAAGAGUGAGAGAGAGAGGAAAAGACGGUCGAACGCCGGCUCCACAGAACGAUCGUGACCGAUUAAAAGUCUUGCUACGCUCGUGGUCCGACGCCCGACGCCUACACGUUCCAGACCUCCGAUUCA